CAGUAGCCACGGUAAUACGAAGGGGGCUAGCGUUGUUCGGAAUUACUGGGCGUAAAGCGCACGUAGGCGGCUUGGUAAGUUAGAGGUGAAAGCCUGGAGCUCAACUCCAGAAUUGCCUUUAAGACCGCCGAGCUAGCAGGUGAGAGAGGUAAGUGGAAUUCCGAGUGUAGAGGUGAAAUUCGUAGAUAUUCGGAAGAACACCAGUGGCGAAGGCGGCUUACUGGCUCAUACUGACGCUGAGGUGCGAAAGCGUGGGGAGCAAACAGGAUUAGAUACCCGAGUAGUCCCUGUCUCUUAUACA
rnacentral:rRNA from 1 species